CUUUCGCUCCUGUUUUCCACGCGUCGCCCAUCCUUAUUCCUUCGACUUCGGAGUCUUCCUAGCCGCUUGGGCUGUUGUUGCUUCAGUGCCUUUCCUAAUUUGCGGUCUUCCCUUUUCGUUUUGCCAGUUGUUUUUUCGAAUCCUCUGAUUCUCUUUGGUGUUCUGUUCUCUGUUUCGUGGAAAGAGUUCCUGAUUUUCGUUUUUAAGGGAUUUUCUUUGUGGUUUGUGCUUGCGAGGCCGUUUUUCAUCUAUUUAAACCUAGGGUUUUUUUUUUUUUUUGUGUGGAAACUAAUAGAAUUGGUUUCCAGGGUUUCCAAAGUUGUGAUCGAGGCAAGAAUUCGCAGUGUUUGCCAUUUUAUCCGUCUAGGAUUUCCGGGUUGUGGUCGGAUUUUUGGCCGAUUUCCAGCCCAGUUUGGGGGCGGCAUGUUCUAGAUCGCUGUGGAACAGCUCUUAUUCAGCUAUAUAAGUUGUGGUGCUCUCUUGGGGUUUCUUUACGCGUUGGUCAUCUGGAAGGGAAAGAAGCUGGAAAAUCUGGGCAACUGGGGAGUCUCUCUCAUUCCACUCUUUCUAAUUCCACUUUCUCUAUAAAAAAAAUCCCAAAAAUGGCUCUCGAAGACUGGAACUGGAAGUAUGAGUUUCCUACAACCAAAUGGGAAUCAAUCUGAAAGAACUGCGUCUAUUCGCCGUCUUCAAGGAUUGGAUGCUUUUGAGCAAAGCUUUCAAGGAUGCAGGUUAGCUUAAGAGCAUCCGAUCAUUCCUUAAGGAUGCAGAUGAGAAGGCGGUAGCAGAAGCAGAGCCCAUUUUGGUCACGGCCUGUCAUCAGAUCACUGUGGAACAGAUGUUAUUCAGCUAAGUUGUGGUUGGGCCUUUCCCGGCUAAAUGACAUUUUGCAUUUUGGUUGCUCGUUUAAUAAAUCUGAGAUUUGCUAACACCUGUAAUGCUGCUAUUAUAUUUCGGCAUGCGAUGCUCUUUGCUUUCUGCAGCUUCAAUGUACAGCCUUUAAAACCAUUUCUACUUUAGGUAAACAGAUCGAUCAACUCCUCUGUUUCUUCUAUAGGUACAUCUGUACAACAACCAAUGGUAUGUUAAUAUUUAGAAUUUAUUACAUUUUUUUCAUUAAUGUUUUACGCUUAAAUUCAAUCUUUACUAAACUUUCUCUUUAGGGGAAUUGGCUAUUACCAAUAUAUAUAUACAGACUAUCUUUUUUUCAUCUGGUCUAAAUGCAUGUCCAAUUACCUGACUACGCAUUGAUAAGUUAAGUUAGACAUCCAAAAGCAUUACUUUAAACACUCUUACCAAAAAUGGACCCAUUCCACAUGCCUCAAUUAAGUCAAAUUACCUAUUAGCAAUAGGGCGGUUGUUAGAUCUAUCUAUGCAACAUCUCAUUAUUCGUUAGAUGGAUUAAACAAUUUCCUUUCUCCAGUCUUCUUUGAUUCAAUUAAACAAUGUGGAAAGAGUAUAUAUUUGGUUAGAACAUCUAAAUUUAUACUUUUGGAUAUCCAUCUUAAACCCCUUGGUCAUCAGCCAAGUAAUUAAUCAUGCAUUCAAAGCAGCCCAAAGGAAGAAAGCCUUUGUCUAUAAAUUGGUAACAGUCCAUUCAUUUGAAGAGAAAAUAUGGAAGUGAUGAUUAUUUAUCCAAAUGAUCAAAGCUGAAAUAACUGAGCAAAUAGUAUCUCUGUGUUACAUAGAGACGCCUAAUCAGCUCUAUCUGAUCCAUCUUUGAACAUCCUUUCUCCCAUUUUUACAUUAGAAUCAGUACAAAACUGGCUUAGAUAUCUUUUUACACCAUAUUCUCAUGUUUUUUAUGCAUUUGUAAUACUGGUUUUCAAUUUUCUCCAGUUCACCUCAUCAAAUUUGCCUACAACUUUCCCAUUUUUUACUCAUUCAAAGAUAGCUUGCUGCAAAUUUGACAAUCAUUUUAGUCGGUAUAAAACAUAAAUUUACUUUUUAACCUGCUUUUCCAAUCUUUGGACAUCAUCUCCUUUUUAGUAUAUAUUUUUCCUUUUGUUCUUUCUGUCUGUUCCCAUCUGCUAGAACAACAUCAAACUCAAGUUUUGUUAUCCUCAACAAAUUUUCAGCAUGGAUUCCUAUCAUCUAAACUCUUACCUCAACAAGUGUACAGCUCUAUAUGCUUUUUAAUUCUUCAUGUCCAAAUGGCAUAUAUACAUGCUUAUUAAGAAUCAAAUGAUACAACUUUACAUUUGCAAUUAUAUAUUGUUUCUAAUAGCUUAUAUAAUUUUUUGUUUGUUUUCCUGUAACAUCGUAUUGUAACAUGAUCUAAUGAUAUUCAAUAUAAUUGGACAAACUGUUAUAGACCAGUUAAUGCCAAUUUAAACACUCCUAAUAAGUUACAGCUACAUUUAUUAUCUCGAAUUUCAACAUCAAAUGUAUAUUUUUUUACUUCAAACAUUUCGUAAAUUAUUAAUAAUCGUUUUGAAGUAUUAUAUACUUACUCAUAAAAGCAGUUAUCCUCUUAUGCAUAAUUCUCCACCACAAAUUUAUAUCAAUAUUAAAACACUUGUAACCUUAAUUUAUAGUUACUGCAGUAUAAUCUAUGUGCACAUCAUUUUCUUCUUCAGUUUCUGCUGUUUUUUGUUCUCUGAGUUAUACAUGUUACCGGUGUUCACAACUAAAAUCGAUUACACAGACUUGACUACAGGUGUGCCGCAAAUUACAUCACUUUCUGCCAACACUCUGCUUCUUUUUCUUAUUAUAUUUUUCUGUGUUUAAAUAGCAUGAACAUACUAAAAACCUGUUAAUUAGAAACUAUCCAUUACAAGUUUGCACUGGCCGUUUUCUUCUUUUAUAUCCAGUAGUUUUAAGACCCACAGCAACGCGCGGGCACUAUUGCUAGUCAUCAUAUAUACUAAAACUCAGUUUCCCCCGGCACUGUUCACCAACAGUGAAAGGGCGAAACUGCUCUCGGAUUCUUGUUUGCUUGCGGUGCUCUUUGCUAUUUUGUGCAGUGAAAAGUCCGUUUUGGCCCUCAUGGCGUGUCUGUCAUCGUUCAGUUUAUGCAUUGAAUAGGUUUUCGUUGGUUUACCAUUUGCUUUGCCUUUUGUGUGUCGGCAAUCUCUGCUUCUCUCCAUCUUGGUCUCGCCUUCCUUUCGUCUGUAAUCCUGUGUUUUUCGUUUUGCAAAAUAUUCAUCGCAAAGAUCGUCGUGUUCCUUUUUUUUGGGGGAGUUUGUUUGGGUUCUCUGUUUUGAGACAAGUUCUGCAUCUUUGUAAAUCGUUUCUCCCUAAUUGUCAUCGGCUUUCCGACCAAUUUUUGGUGCGGUCUGGGUGCCAUCUUUUUUCAGAUCAUCGUAAAAAAAAAAUUAUUUAACUCAGUUUGUUGAGGCUUUGUCGGCUAAGAGUGGAUUUUGUGUUUGGUUUACUCCGCUGAUAAAUCUGAGAUUUAACAGGAGUUCGAAGGCUACUGUUGGUUUGGUUAUGUAUUCCCUGCUUUCAUUCCUUCCUAAUUGUAUAUGGAUUUCCUAUUUAAAUGAAGCAGGUAACUAAUCGAUUAAUGCAUGUUUUAAUUCCAUUAUUCCUAAUGUUUUAACAGCUUUGUUUAUUGUUGAGUUUUGUUGGUGAAUCGACUUUUCUUUUAUUGAUAGCAGUGGUGUUUUGUAUGUGAGGACAUAUGCUUAUUCUCUGGGUGUUCUAAUUUGUUUAGUUAGCAAUAGAAGUUUCUAUUUUUUUUAACAUUUAUCGUGAAAUUGAAUCCUUGCAACAUGUAAUGUAUGAAACAAUUCAUUGUGUAUGGAAUAAUAUCAACACUGAAUUGGAGUUAUGUGAUUUGCGAUAAUUUACCAAUUCAGUGGUGCGUAGGGAAAAUCAAUCUGAGCUGUUGUGGAAUUCCCUGACAUCUUAGGAUGAAAUAUUGAAGGGAGCGCGUUUUGGCAGUCAUUGUGUCUUGCCCGCACCGUGUCCUGCACGGUGUCAAUCGUUCUGCAUGAUCAUUCAUCAAAGGCAGCAAGUCUAACUGCUCAAGUGUAGUGAGAAACUGCAAGCCUUCAGGUAACGUCUUCAGCCCACAAGCAACAGUGCAAGUGGAGGAUAUUCAUAGAAUCUGAGUAUUCUAGUUGGUGAAGACAGAAUUCUCAAAGAGAUGAAGACAGAGUUCUCAAAGAGAUGGAGACAGAAUUCUAGUUGGAGUAUUCAGGUAACGCCUCCAUUUGGUGAAGACAGAAUUCUCGAAGAGGAUUGGGGACCUGGGGACCUGCAAUUUAGUUCCUGUGUAAGGGCGGUCAUCAUAUACUUGCAGCAAGCCCUGGUUGAUCAAUUCAUUUAUAUUUUCUUCUGCUAGUUCCUCCAUAAUCUGCCCUGCUUUCUCUUGAACCAGUCCUUCAGCCACUAGUAACCGAAUAAGUUUCCCUUUGGAAAUCCAGUGGUUCUCGGGGAAGAUGGAACAAUAUAUCAAGCAGUGGUAAAGAGAAUCAGUUUGAUCCUUGUUUGCAUUUCCUUCAAGCCUGUCGUAGUGUUGUGGUCUUGUAGUCCAUUUCUUAGAAAGCUUCAGGAUGUGACUUCGUGGUGGAAAUAGAGGCUUAUAGUUUGUGAUGGUUGAGCUUUGUAUCGAAGCAGCCUGCAGCGGAAGAGAUGAUGAAGAAGCUGAUGUCUCAACUUCUUAGUUCUCUUCGAAGUUUUUGUUUUCUUGUCUCUCCUUCGAUGGUAUUUGAACUUAGCCAUAUGGUGUUCUACAAAUGUGUUGAUAGCUUAUGCAGCUUGAUGCGACUCUGAGAUGGUAGCAGAUGCAAAUUUGUGAUGGUUAAGCUUUGUAAAAUCACAUUUAAUAUAAAAUUUCAAUACAAUAAAAAUAAAACAUGAUUUUAAUUGAUA